rnacentral:rRNA from 1 species
ACGCCUAAUACAUGCAAGUCGAACGAAGUAGCAAUACUUAGUGGCAGACGGGUGAGUAACAUGUAGGUAUCUUCCCUUUGGUGAGGAAUAACACGAGGAAACUUGUGCUAAUACCUCAUAAGUCUUUACGGAGAAAGCUUUAUGCGCCAUUGGAUGAGCCUGCACUUGAUUAGUUUGUUGGUGGGGUAAUGGCUUACCAAGACAAUGAUCAAUAGCUGAUUUGAGAGGAUGAUCAGCCACAUUGGGACUGAGACACGGCCCAAACUCCUACGGGAGGCAGCAGUAGGGAAUCUUGCACAAUGGGGGAAACCCUGAUGCAGCGAUGCCGCGUGAGUGAAGAAGGCCUUUGGGUUGUAAAGCUCUUUCGUCGGGGAAGAAAAUGACUGUACCCGAAUAAGAAGGUCCGGCUAACUUCGUGCCAGCAGCCGCGGUAAUACGAAGGGACCUAGCGUAGUUCGGAAUUACUGGGCUUAAAGAGUUCGUAGGUGGUUAAAAAAGUUGGUGGUGAAAUCCCAGAGCUUAACUCUGGAACUGCCAUCAAAACUUUUUAGCUAGAGUAUGAUAGAGGAAAGCAGAAUUUCUAGUGUAGAGGUGAAAUUCGUAGAUAUUAGAAAGAAUACCAAUUGCGAAGGCAGCUUUCUGGAUCAUUACUGACACUGAGGAACGAAAGCAUGGGUAGCGAAGAGGAUUAGAUACCCUCGUAGUCCAUGCCGUAAACGAUGUGUGUUAGACGUUGGAAAUUUAUUUUCAGUGUCGCAGCGAAAGCAAUAAACACACCGCCU